UCCUCGUUAGGUGAGGCUCCUAUAUGGAUGUAAGCUGCUACCCAGAAAUGUCGAGAGACACCAAUGGGUUAACAGAGACUAUCGACAUAAGGUAGUAUCUAAUGCAGUGGGAAAAAUCCAAGCCAUAUAGUGCUAAAACUCCACGAUGGAG
rnacentral:sRNA from 1 species